rnacentral:rRNA from 1 species
UAUUGAAGUAGGCGGAAUAUGUAGUGUAGCGGUGAAAUGCAUAGAUAUUACAUAGAACACCAAUUGCGAAGGCAGCUUACUAAGUACUAACUGACGCUGAUGGACGAAAGC